GCUGGGCGUGGUGGCGGGCGCCUGUAAUCCCAGCUGCUCAGGAGGCUGAGGUAGGAGAAUCGCUUGAACCCGGGAGGUGGAGGUUGCAGUGAGCCAAGAUUGCGUCACUGCACUCCAGCCUGGGAGACAGAGUGAUACUCCAUCUCUU
rnacentral:SRP_RNA from 1 species